UAAAAACGCCAUAUCUCCCAAACCACUUGGAGUUUCUGACUCUACUUUUUUUUAAAUGAAACUAGACUCAAAUACCUUUCGUUUGGUAUGAGUCUGGAGUCCAGGAGAUGUCGGAGUCAGAACGUGUUAAAUUUUGAAGUUGAGUCAGUGGGAAAACAGAGCAUGUUUUGUUGAUGUUUGCUUGUAUUUUCUUAUGUGCCUUAUGUGUUUAUGUUGCCUAAGUGUUUGAAUGAGAUUAGACGAGUCUUAUAUGAGAGAUAAAUCGAGACUUAGAACCAUGAUUUUCUUGAACCCUAUCCUUGGACUUAAGGAUUUGAAAUGAGUGAAGAGUUUAUGUAGAGUUGAUUAAGAGAUAGAAUAUAAUAUAGAGCAUGAGUUGAGGCAUGAGUUUUUGUCGUUGAGUUUCUAAUCGGGAUUCAUUUUAUGACAUGAACCUUCGAUGAUGACGAUGAUCCCUGAAGACACGAGCAGAGCAAGGAAGUAAGUAACUCCACUUUGACGGGAGUUUUUGAGUAAGGUCUUCAGGCUAAGCAAGGAGUGAGAUUGGUCUGGUGCUGGUGGGGGAUCGUUAGAUGACGUAUUUACUUUAUCGUAUUUCCUUUUUAUCGAUAAAGUCUUGAUGUGAAGUUACUUUAAAUAUGAAUCAAGUAAUAUACUCACGGUUAUGUGUCUCCAUACAUGUAACUGGUUCGCCUUUUGCUGCGAUACUCUGCAUAUUAUGUUUCCUUAUGAAAAAUAAGCUAUACCUGUUU